GCCUAAGGGAACAGACUAUACAUGCAGUCGAGCGCGGGAAGCGAACGGAACUCUUCGGAGGGAAGUUCGUGGAACGAGCGGCGGACGGGUGAGUAACACGUAGGCAACCUGCCUGUAAGACUGGGAUAACUCGCGGAAACGCGAGCUAAUACCGGAUAACACUUUCUAUCACCUGAUGGAAAGUUGAAAGGCGGCUUUUGCUGUCACUUACAGAUGGGCCUGCGGCGCAUUAGCUAGUUGGUGAGGUAACGGCUCACCAAGGCGACGAUGCGUAGCCGACCUGAGAGGGUGAUCGGCCACACUGGGACUGAGACACGGCCCAGACUCCUACGGGAGGCAGCAGUAGGGAAUCUUCCGCAAUGGACGAAAGUCUGACGGAGCAACGCCGCGUGAGUGAUGAAGGUUUUCGGAUCGUAAAACUCUGUUGUCAGGGAAGAACAAGUACGAUAGUAACUGAUCGUACCUUGACGGUACCUGACCAGAAAGCCACGGCUAACUACGUGCCAGCAGCCGCGGUAAUACGUAGGUGGCAAGCGUUGUCCGGAAUUAUUGGGCGUAAAGCGCUCGCAGGCGGUUCUUUAAGUCUGAUGUGAAAUCUUGCGGCUCAACCGCAAACGUGCAUUGGAAACUGGAGGACUUGAGUGCAGAAGAGGAGAGUGGAAUUCCACGUGUAGCGGUGAAAUGCGUAGAGAUGUGGAGGAACACCAGUGGCGAAGGCGACUCUCUGGUCUGUAACUGACGCUGAGGAGCGAAAGCGUGGGGGAGCGAACAGGAUUAGAUACCCUGGUAGUCCACGCCGUAAACGAUGAGUGCUAGGUGUUAGGGGGUUUCCGCCCCUUAGUGCUGAAGUUAACGCAUUAAGCACUCCGCCUGGGGAGUACGGCCGCAAGGCUGAAACUCAAAAGAAUUGACGGGGACCCGCACAAGCGGUGGAGCAUGUGGUUUAAUUCGAAGCAACGCGAGAACCUUACCAUGUCUUGACAUCCUUUGACCGCUCUAGAGAUAGAGUUUUCCCUUCGGGGACAAAGUGACAGUGGUGCAUGCCUGUCGUCAC
rnacentral:rRNA from 1 species